UACAGAGGUCUCAAGCGUUGUUCGGAUUCAUUGGGCGUAAAGGGUGCGUAGGCGGCGCGGUAAGUCGGGUGUGAAAGCCCCCGGCUCAACUGGGGAGGGUCACGCGAUACUGAUCGACUCGAAGGCAGGAGAGGGAAGUGGAAUUCCCGGGUGUAGUGGUGAAAUGCGUAGAUAUCGAGAGGAACACCAGUGGCGAAGGCGAGUCCCUGGACAACUCCUGACGCUGAGGCACGAAAGCUAGGGGAGCAAACAGG
rnacentral:rRNA from 1 species